CCUGUCCCUUGAGGCAUUGCAGGUAUGGGUGCCAUGCCACAUGUGCAUCAGUAGGUGGCAGAGUCAAGAGAAGCUAAGUCUUCACUCAGUGUUCUGACCUUUGAACAUCUGAAUGAUUAGUAGCCUAAGAUG